GACGAACGCUGGCGGCGUGCUUAACACAUGCAAGUCGAACGAAGAGCGAUGGAAGCUUGCUUCUAUCAAUCUUAGUGGCGAACGGGUGAGUAACGCGUAAUCAACCUGCCCUUCAGAGGGGGACAACAGUUGGAAACGACUGCUAAUACCGCAUACGAUCUAACCUCGGCAUCGAGGAUGGAUGAAAGGUGGCCUCUAUUUAUAAGCUAUCACUGCAGGAGGGGAUUGCGUCUGAUUAGCUAGUUGGAGGGGUAACGGCCCACCAAGGCGAUGAUCAGUAGCCGGUCUGAGAGGAUGAACGGCCACAUUGGGACUGAGACACGGCCCAGACUCCUACGGGAGGCAGCAGUGGGGAAUCUUCCGCAAUGGACGAAAGUCUGACGGAGCAACGCCGCGUGAGUGAUGACGGCCUUCGGGUUGUAAAGCUCUGUUAAUCGGGACGAAAGGCCUUCUUGCGAAUAGUUAGAAGGAUUGACGGUACCGGAAUAGAAAGCCACGGCUAACUACGUG
rnacentral:rRNA from 1 species